GGAGCCAUAGGGAAGGAUACCAAUCCAGCCUUAGGAAAAGAAACCUGCCAUGGGAGUCUCGGAGAUUGGCGACCAUCCUAAUGACUUA
rfam:Equus caballus chromosome 15, whole genome shotgun sequence.